rnacentral:rRNA from 1 species
UACGUAGGGCGCAAGCGUUAUCCGGAAUUAUUGGGCGUAAAGAGUUCGUAGGCGGUUUGUCGCGUCGUUCGUGAAAACUUGGGGCUUAACUCCAAGCGUGCGGGCGAUACGGGCAGACUUGAGUACUACAGGGGAGACUGGAAUUCCUGGUGUAGCGGUGAAAUGCGCAGAUAUCAGGAGGAACACCGGUGGCGAAGGCGGGUCUCUGGGUAGUAACUGACGCUGAGGAACGAAAGCGUGGGUAGCGAACAGG